UGCCAGCAGCCGCGGUAAUACGGAGGGUGCGAGCGUUAUCCGGAAUCACUGGGCGUAAAGGGCGUGUAGGCGGUUUAUUAAGUCUGAUGUUAAAGACCAGAGCUCAACUCUGACACGGCGUUGGAUACUGAUAAACUAGACCACUGGAGAGGCAAGUAGAAUUACCAGUGUAGCGGUGGAAUGCGUAGAUACUGGUAGGAAUACCCAUGGCGAAGGCAGCUUGCUAGACAGAGGGUGACGCUAAGGCGCGAAAGUGUGGGGAGCAAACCGGAUUAGAUA
rnacentral:rRNA from 1 species